GACGAACGCUGGCGGCGUGCUUAACACAUGCAAGUCGAGCGGUAAGGCCCUUUCGGGGGUACGACGAGCGGCGAACGGGUGAGUAACACGUGGGUGACCUGCCCUCAGCUCUGGGAGUAAGCCUGGGAAACCGGGGUCUAAUACCGGAUAUGACUCCAUGACGCAUGUUGUGGGGUGGAAAGUCUUGUGCGGCUGAGGAUGGGCCCGCGGCCUAUCAGCUUGUUGGUGGGGGGA
rnacentral:rRNA from 1 species